AGUAGCAUACUUCAGAUGGCGACCGGCGCACGGGUGAGUAACACGUAUCCAACCCGUUGCUUACUCGGGGAUAGCCUUUCGAAAGAAAGAUUAAUACCCGAUGGUAUAAAGAGUUCGCAUGUUCUCUUUAUUAAAGAAUUUCGGUAAGCGAUGGGGAUGCGUUCCAUUAGAUUGUUGGCGGGGUAACGGCCCACCAAGUCUACGAUGGAUAGGGGUUCUGAGAGGAAGGUCCCCCACAUUGGAACUGAGACACGGUCCAAACUCCUACGGGAGGCAGCAGUGAGGAAUAUUGGUCAAUGGACGAGAGUCUGAACCAGCCAAGUAGCGUGAAGGAUGACUGCCCUAUGGGUUGUAAACUUCUUUUAUAAGGGAAUAAAGUGAGGGACGUGUCCCUUUUUGUAUGUACCUUAUGAAUAAGGAUCGGCUAACUCCGUGCCAGCAGCCGCGGUAAUACGGAGGAUCCGAGCGUUAUCCGGAUUUAUUGGGUUUAAAGGGAGCGUAGGUUGACGUAUAAGUCAGCUGUGAAAGUUUACGGCUCAACCGUGAAAUUGCAGUUGAUACUGUAUGUCUUGAGUGUACAAGAGGUGGGCGGAAUUCGUGGUGUAGCGGUGAAAUGCUUGGAUAUCACGAAGAACUCCGAUUG
rnacentral:rRNA from 1 species